AGUCCAUUUUGUGGACAUCUCCGUUGUAACUCUUUGUAUCUCUCCCAAGCCUCAUAUAAUGAUUCACCAUCCUACAGAGCAAAACUUGUUAUUUCCAUGCAUAGUUU